UUAUUUCCAUAAAAUUUAAAUAAAUAUUUCAUGUUCCAAUCUAAUACCAUCAUCUACUGAGAUGAUACCUAGUUCUCUUAAAGAAUUAAGAAGUGAACAGCUUUAAGACUUGCACAUGUUUCUGCUAAAGGUUAACCCUCUUCUCAGCCUGGCUCAAGGGGUGAAAACAAGAAAAAGCUCAGACAGAACAAAACAAAACACAUAAUAAAUAUACGUGAAUUCCAGCCCCAGCUCUGCCACUAGAAGUGCAUCAGUGCUGGUUCCUGUGCAUUGAAAUUCAAGAGGUUGGAAUCUUCCUUUCUCAGCACUUUGAAAUGAAAAGCCAACCCAUGAGACAUCAAACACACAAAAAAGUAAUACUUCUGGCUUUUGGAAUUCUCAAAAGUUGAUGUCAGUUUACAAGGAAGUGUUGUCUCGAGAAGCCCACACACUGUGUCUACACUUCAUGUUCUGUGGAAAUUUCACUUGCUGAGAAUGUUUUUCCCUCCAUGCUGGGACGAUGAAGAGGAUCUACUGCGACUGCCAUCAGAGGUAAAGGGGAUUAUUCCUGCCUCUUUCUUCCUUAAAACCUUGAGAAGAUAAGAAUUAAGACCCUUAGAAUGUUCCAGUAUUUUGGCAUGACAAUUGGCAGAUAAAAGACAUUUAAAACAUUGGAUACGAUAUAGUCAUUAAUCAAACAAAUCAGUUAUUGCCAUGGAUCAACAAGAAUAAAGUACUAGGGUAUAUUUUUCUUUCCUAUAUU
rnacentral:lncRNA from 1 species